rnacentral:lncRNA from 1 species
GGCAGCGCCCGCCGGACGCUGGACACAGACGUGACCCCAGACCGCCUGGCCUUGGGUGGAUCGGGUCUCUGGGCAGAGCGUGUGUCCGGCAGAGCUAGGACCGGAAAAAGCCACUCUAGGUCUAGGUUAGGAGUGAUGACAGUUAAAAGAUAUAUAAGGAAAAGAAGGAAAGGAUCGUUUCUGUAUAAAACGAGCUAUUUUUGCAUAUCGAGCGCAUAAGUUUUAUAACUUAGGUGUCUGUUUAUGGAGAGGGUGGGAUACUACCUUUUAGCUCAAGGAGUGCACAAAACGGUAUCAUGAAUUCUGCUCUUUUGAUUCAAACACCCAACUUUGAAGAAUCGCUCAUGGUGCUUGUAAAACACGUAUCCCCAGAUCCCUCCCUAGACCUAUCGAACAACUCCAACGGUCUCGGGAAUGUGCGUGGUUUCUGAAAAGCUUGGGAAGCAAGACCUGACUAGACCCCCAAAUCUGAUAUUGGCUGAAUGGCCGACCAAUGGAGUGCAUAAGAAGUCUGGAUACAAAGGCAGCCCAAUUUCUAGAAAUGUAUACCAGCCAUGAAGAGAUAAAGCUCCAAGAGGAGAUUUCUCUUUCUGGUAUAAGGAUUUAAACAAAACCUAGAAUGUCGCAGUACUCGAAGUAUCCAAAACAACUGAAAAAUGAAGAAGAAUAAAAGAAGAAUCCAAAAGUAUCCAAAAUAACUGAACAUAUGAAGAAUCAUGGCUGGGCACAGUGACUGGCUCAUGUCCGUAAUCCUAGCAUUUUGGGAGGCUGGGGGCGGGGAGGCA